rnacentral:rRNA from 1 species
GAUCCUGGCUCAGGAUGAACGCUAGCUACAGGCUUAACACAUGCAAGUCGAGGGGCAGCAUGGUCUUAGCUUGCUAAGGCCGAUGGCGACCGGCGCACGGGUGAGUAACACGUAUCCAACCUGCCGUCUACUCUUGGACAGCCUUCUGAAAGGAAGAUUAAUACAAGAUGGCAUCAUGAGUCCGCUAUGUUCACAUGAUUAAAGGUAUUCCGGUAGACGGAUGGGG